rnacentral:rRNA from 1 species
GAUGAACGCUGGCGGCGUGCCUAAUACAUGCAAGCCGAGCGAACAGACGAGGAGCUUGCCCCUCUGACGUUAGCGGCGGACGGGUGAGUAACACGUGGAUAACCUACCUAUAAGACUGGGAUAACUUCGGGAAACCGGAGCUAAUACCGGAUAAUAUAUUGAACCGCAUGGUUCAAUAGUGAAAGACGGUUUUGCUGUCACUUAUAGAUGGAUCCGCGCCGCAUUAGCUAGUUGGUAAGGUAACGGCUUACCAAGGCAACGAUGCGUAGCCGACCUGAGAGGGUGAUCGGCCACACUGGAACUGAGACACGGUCCAGACUCCUACGGGAGGCAGCAGUAGGGAAUCUUCCGCAAUGGGCGAAAGCCUGACGGAGCAACGCCGCGUGAGUGAUGAAGGUCUUCGGAUCGUAAAACUCUGUUAUUAGGGAAGAACAAAUGUGUAAGUAACUAUGCACGUCUUGACGGUACCUAAUCAGAAAGCCACGGCUAACUACGUG